AACGUUAGCGGCGGGCCUAACACAUGCAAGUCGAACGAGAACGCUCCUUCGGGAGUUAUUAAAGUGGCGCACGGGUGAGGAACGCGUAGGUAAUCUACCCUUUGGCGGGGGACAACAUUCCGAAAGGAAUGCUAAUACCGCGUAAGACCACGCUCACUACGGUGAAAGCGGUUAAAGGUGCCUCAAAGCACCACCAGAGGAUGAGCCUGCGUCCCAUCAGCUUGUUGGUAAGGUAAUGGCUUACCAAGGCGAAGACGGGUAGCUGGUCUGAGAGGAUGAUCAGCCACACUGGCACUGGAACACGGGCCAGACUCCUACGGGAGGCAGCAGUGAGGAAUAUUGGGCAAUGGGCGAAAGCCUGACCCAGCCACGCCGCGUGUGUGAUGAAGGCCUUCGGGUCGUAAAGCACUGUGGGGAGAGACGAAACAGCGCAACAGGAAAUGGUUGCGCCUUGACGGUACCUCCUUAGCAAGCACCGGCUAACUCUGUGCCAGCAGCCGCGGUAAUACAGAGGGUGCGAACGUUGCUCGGAUUUACUGGGCGUAAAGCGCGUGUAGGCGGACUCGCAAGUCGGUUGUGAAAUCCCUGGGCUUAACCUAGGAACUGCAUCCGAAACUGCUUGUCUUGAGUAAUGGAGAGGGUGGCGGAAUUCCCGGUGUAGAGGUGAAAUUCGUAGAUAUCGGGAGGAACAUCAGUGGCGAAGGCGGCCACCUGGACAUUUACUGACGCUGAGACGCGAAAGCGUGGGGAGC
rnacentral:rRNA from 1 species